AGGUGAUGUGUCUCCAGCAAUGGGGGCGUCAUGCCAUACGGCUCAGUAACACGUAACUAACCUGCCCUUGGGUCGGGAAUAACCCCGGGAAACUGGGUAGAAUAUCUGAUAGGUUUUGGAGGCUGGAAUCUGCGCCAAAACUGAAAGGAAACGCCCAAGGAUGGGGUUGCGACGGAUUAGGCUGUUGUUGAGGUAAGAGCUCAACAAACCGAUAAUCCGUACGGGUUGUGGGAGCAAUAGCCCGGAGAUGGAUUCUGAGACAAGAAUCCAGGCCCCACGGGGCGCAGCAGGCGCGAAACCUUUACAAUGCGCGCAAGCGUGAUAAGGAAUCCUGAGUGCCUUGAAAAAACCAAGGUUUUUGUUCACUCCAAACAGGUGAACGAAUAAGUGGUGGGUAAAACGGGUGCCAGCCGGCCGCGGUAAUACCCGUGCCACAAGUGGUGGUCGUAUUUAUUGGGCCUAAAGCGUUCGUAGCCGGCCCGAUAAGUCUCUUGUGAAAUCUUGAAUCAAAUUCAAGGCUUGCUGGAGAAACUAUCGGGCUUGGAACCGGGAGAGGCUGGAGGUACUCCAGGGGUAGGGGUAAAAUCCUGUAAUCCUUGGGGGACCACCAGUGGCGAAGGCGUCCAGCUUGAACGGAUUCGACGGUGAGGGACGAAAGCCAGGGGAGCAAAGGGGAUUAGAUACCCCCGUAGUCCUGGCCGUAAACGAUGCCCGUUUGGCGUUGCAGAACUCUAGGGGUCCUGCAGUGCCGUAGCGUAGGCGUUAAACGGGCCGCCUGGGGAGUACGGCCGCAAGGUUGAAACUUAAAGGAAUUGGCGGGGGAGCACCACAAGGGGUGCGGCCUGCGGUUCAAUUGGAUUCAACGCCGGA
rnacentral:rRNA from 1 species